CCCGCCCAUCCCCAUCACACAGAGAAUGUGACCUCUGCGGGACUGGACUCCGGAAGGACCGUACCUCCUGGACUUACCCACAGAAGAACUGCGAAAGAGCUCGGGAGGAGAAGGAUGAAAACUUUAAGGAACAAUGAAGGAGAGAGGUGCCGCUCUGAACCGGACUAAGGUGCAGAACUGGAGUGAGCUGCCGCUCUUUCCCCACCGAAUUUGAAUGCUGUAAUGAGUAAAAGCUUAUGACCACAAGGCAAACAGAGUUUUUAGAGAACUCCUUUUUCAGGUGGGCCACUCUUGUCUCUCCUACAGCCCUUCCUGCUGUCUCUUUGGGUAGGUGCACUCACAGUUCACCUUGGCUUGUGUGGAGCUCUCUACUCACCAGGGACUGGAUUUCUCUUCAUUUUCCAGUGUGGAAGACAUAUGUGGAGUCAGUCAUUCCAGGACCCAGAUCACUCCUCUUUCUCUUUCAAUGUGAACAAGUAUCCUAAGAAAAAGUGUUAGUGUUUGUUUUCUGGAGGGCUUUGACAUAGCACUUCGAAGCAGGCAGCACUGGUUUCUGCACACCGUUUCAAUGGCUUUUGGAUGCCCAGGAGAAAUUCGCCAAUAACUCCAAAAGCAGCUUCAACAUUUGCCUUCCUGCCCUCCGAAGAGAUUCACCAACAUGCACACACCUGUCCUUGGGCGGUGCAGGUUCAUGCUAGGUGGGUUGUUUAACAGGGUAAUAGGUUUAAGUUCCGUUCCCAUCUUAUCUAGUCUAUAAUUUAUUUUUUUUCAAAAAUAAAUCCCAAAUAUUCUAUUGCCAUCUCACACAUACCGACGCAGAGCCUAAAAAGAGGUACAGUCACGGAGCUGCUAUGAUGGCUCAGGUUCAUCUUCCAUCACACUAGUGCUUGGCUGGGGAAAUCUCUCUCUGUGAAACAAGCAGGACUUCUGAGGGGAGCAGAGGCCAGCCACUGGAAAAAACUUUAAAUUCAUCCUCAUAAGAACAGAAUGGUUUUGCAAUAGUGUUCUGAUUUUAUAUUUAUACUUUAUACCUUUGACAUUUUAUGAACAAAUUUAAGGAGUAGCAAGAGUGUUGGCAGCCCUUGGAAAUACGAAAUGGUUAAGCAGUAUCUUAAUUCGAAGAGGCAGAAAGUGAAACCUCACAGUCUAAGGUCGACAUCUCAAUAAGAUGAUAAUAAAGGGAGAGGAAGGCCUACAUUUUAUUUAUAUUUUAUCAGAGGUUAUCUCUGCAGAAUUUGAAGCACAACAAAUACUAUUCUAAAGAAAAUGUUCAUCACCUGAAAAUGAAAUUACUUCCCCCAGCAAAAUGUCCACACUCUCUCUCCUCGGGCUCCUCCAAGCAGCUGAGAAACAGGAGAUACUUUACAUGCCCUCAUAUGACUCAUUUAACUAUUAAACAAUCAGAUGUAGCUCUAAUUCACUGACACCCCCUCUCAUGGGAUAGACAUUCAUCCAUCCAUCCAUCCAUCCAUCCAUCCAUCCAUCCAUACACACAUACAUGCACACAUACAUACACACACACAUACACACAUACAUACACACACAUACAUACACACACAUACAUACACACAUAUAUACAAACAUACAUACAUACACACAUAGAUAUACACAUACAUACAUAUGCACAUACACACAUACAUAUAUAUACAUAUACACAUGCAUGCAUGCACAUAGACAUGCAUGCAUGCUUAUUUAUUUAAAAGGACAAUAGACAAUAAUUUGAGAAGAAAAUGCAGUUGAGAUCUUAUUUACAGGAUCUAGCCUGGGGAAUAUGCUUAAGAAGAAAAACUGAUUAUUAUGAUAAGCACUACUUUGGCUUAUAAGAAAGCAAAGAGCAAAACCUCACAGUCUUCCUGGCAGGCUUGAGACGUCUCUCAGAGUCACUCUCUGGAAGCAAAUUGCUCUCAUCCUAAUGUCAACUGUACAACAAAAGAGAGACUUUUAAAAGUCGACAAUAUUCAAAAUGGCCCACCAAAGUAUUUGUGAAUUCCCCCAAUUCCACGGAUGUAGCAACAGACUUGUUUUGAUGUAAAACUAAGAGAUGACUUUAAUGACCCAGCUACUUCCUAAACAACUUUUGUAAGUUUGCAUCUAUAGAAUAAAAGAAAUCUUAUCUUUGGCUAUAAAAUGGAGGUGUCUUUGAGAAUCUAAGCCAACAUUUAUUCUGAUCAAAAAAAAAAAAAAAAAAAACACCACUUGUCAUCUCUUCAUAUUUGAGAGGCAGAAUUUAAUGUGUUUAUCUUGGUUGAAUUCUUUGGAGGCUGGAUGUAUAUAGUGUGAAAGACAUGACACUUGAUUUACCGUCCACUGACUGCUCGUCUGUGAGUCUGGAUUGUGCUAAGAAAGUUUACAUUCCUGUGUGGCUGAGAGCCAGGUCUGGUAGACAGUGAAGUAGCCAGAGAACUGUUGAGGGCUGAGCAUGGUUUGUUCUGUUUUUAUUUCUCUAAAGUCCUUGACUUCCAAUGCAUUUACAUUGUCUAAUUUUCUUUUUCCUGAACCCUGACUCUGGUAUUCUAAUCCAAGAAAUGGGUAGAAGCAUUCCAAUCAAAGUUCAAACGUGUUUUUCUCAUUUGGUUAGGCCCCUAACCCGUGAAGAUGAGGCCAAGUGUUGGUGACAAGGGACAAAAAGCAUCUCUUAUGGUGACUAGCUUCUAGAAGCUUCUUGGGACAUGAUAACAAUUACUAUCUUAUGCAAAAAUAUUAAACUUCUUAGCUAAGGGGCAUUCACCAUAUUAUUGGUCUUCUCAGUUCCUAGACUUCUGUAAAAUUUCGUGUGCAUUCUUGUAAGAUAAUUAUAUCCUGUAUUGUCCGCUAGACUAAACAUCUGAAAAUUCAAAUUUUAUCUAAUUUCACACAGGAGUAAAUGGAAUGUUUUGCUCACAAUAGAUAUUUAUUAACGGGGAUCAAGUUGAUUUAAAUUAAACAAGGAAGUCAGUCUUAAACACAAUGUUUACAACAUUAAUUUAAGUUGUUGAUAAAGAGAAAAUUCUGAUCACGCUACUUAAUAUUAUUGUUUUCAUCAUAUGUAUAAAUUCAGAAAAGAUUUCUGUAACAUGGUGUAAAGGUUUAUUUUGUCAUCUGUCUUCAUGAGUGCAUCCUAAGUUUUUAGAGUCCUCCUCUGGUUUGCCAUCUUCAGCUCUGCCUCAAAGACUAGCACAUACUGAGUCCUUCAUAGCUAUUUGCUACAGGAAGGGCUAAAAGCAAAAAAAAUACAUGAUUGGAAAGAUGCAAAGAACAGUUGAUCAAAAUAAAAUCAUUAUUAUUUAAAACCACUAGCUGUCUGAGACAAUAAAGAUGGAAAAAAUUGAGGCCAUUGUAUUUUUUUGACACAAACUAGAAUUAUGACAGUUUCCUGUAAUGUACAGAAAUAUUGAGAUUUCUGUAAUGUUCAUGGUGGUAAACACGUUUAGGCAAAUGUGAUGUGUUAUUCAGUCACCCCUCAUAUCUGACAUCAAAUAUCCUUGAGAGUCUAUAAUGAAGAAACAUUUUAGAUAAUAUUUGAUAGGAAAAUAGCUUUUCCUAAUUAUGCCUUAAAAUACCCAAGGGAAUAUUAAAAAGACAAAAUAUGACAGACAAAAAAAUAAAAUAAAAAAUAAGACUAGAGUCUUAGACUGUUGUUUGAGCCACAGGUAGACUAAAUUCCUCGGCCUUACUAGUUUUCACUGUAUGACAGGUAAGAUAACUAGGAAGACAUCUUAGCUCCUCAACCCUAGUAUGUCUACAUUCAGAAUGUCAACUGAAGGAAGGAAUUCAUUUGUUUGAGACUUUUAAAAAUUUGUUUAUAUUAAUUAAUUAAUUAAUAAUUGUGUGGAAAUCAGAGGACUUUUAGGAAUAAGCUGAAGAUUAUUGUCCUCUGUGUCCAAGGGCAACAUACCAUGGAGGUCAGUAGUGUGCCAUCCAAUCAUUUGUAAUGAGGGCCAGGUUUGCACAAAUCGAUGAGAAACGACAAAUACUGUGAGAAGAAAGAGCAAAGUAUCACCCAUUUAAAGGCUCAGAGAAAGAGAGUAUUUCCAAAAGUAAUUUGUGUUUAUUUUUACUUAUUUAUUUUUUGAGAUGAAGUCUUACUGUGUAGCUUUGACUGACCUGGAAUUGCUACGUAGACCAGGCUGGCCUCCUCACUGAGAUCUGCCCGCCUUUGCCUCCCAAGUGCUGGGUUUCAAGGUGUGCACCUCCACACUUACUGGAAACUGAUUUCUGAUGAGACUCAAGAGAACCUGUUUGCUUUGCAUACUCAGGGAAAUGCAAGCAGCAAGAGCUGCUGCUUUGGAGCAGGAUUGGUAUUGGAUGGGGAACAAAGAAAGACCUGAAGGAGAGGCAAUUCGGGCAAGGAAGAGUUUUAGCAAAACAAAACAUAACAGGAAAAUGACAAACUCCAUUUUAAAAGUUGUCGCCAUCACGAGACCUCGAGCAGUCUGAUGUGUGAAGCGGCAAGGGCACCCACUGUGCUGGACAAGGAAAAAGGGGUGAAAAGUAAUGGAAAAGAACGUGAAAGAUCCAAAUAACAGACUGCUGAAACGUGUGAGGCAGACAUGGUAAAUAAAGAUACGGUGGGAAAAAACCUUCCCAGGUUACCUGUGUGUGCAGAUUUGUGUGUAGAUUGAGAGGGUCUUCCUACAUGCAUGAAUGUAUCACAUGCAUGCAGUGCACAUGGAAGCCAGAAGGGGGUGUUGGAUCCCCUGGAAUGGAGUUACAGGUGGUGGUGAGCUGCCAUGUGGGUGCUGGGAACUGAACUAAAGUUCUGCGAGGGAGCUCCUAAACCAUCACUGAGUCCCCCUCUCCCCCUCCCUCUAUUCUUUCUUUCUCUCUCUCUCUUUCUAUCAAGCCCAGGGUUCAUGAAGGAGCAAGUGGUGCUUUACCACUGAGGUGCGUCCCCACGGACGGCUUUAGAUGGCAGACACAUCAGAAGAACGACUCUGCACUUCCUUCCUCUUUCUCCAGCUCUUAACUUUUCUCUGUCACAAAACAGCACACUUCACAAGUCUCUGUCUUCCCCUCAUGGUUAAACGGAAUCUCGUGUGAGAUCUAAUGACCUAACUCUAGUUUGUGAGCUAUUCAAUAGAAAUUAUGGCUGGACCUUAUUUUCUAGAAAAGGCUCUUUAAUGGCAAUAUUUUUUUCUUUUUCCUCACUUCUCCCCAUUAAUGCUUCUUGUCCUGAGUGUGAUACCUUCGUGGAUUAGGAGACUUAAGAGGGUUAACACUUUCAAGUCUCAACACUUAUUAGUUAUUGAAUUUGUAUUUUCUGACUCAAAUUAUAUAUUUGCUUUAAUACUUCUUAAUUUUGCAGUUACUUCAUGGUUUUUCAGAAAAUGAUGCUUAUGUCUUAUUUUUGUUCGUUUUUCAUUCAACUCUUUAAUGUGGAAUUAUCCUACAUGAAUAUAUUUAUAUCUGAAAAAAAAGUUGUAACAUUUAGUUGACAGGAUGGAUUUUAAACUGAUCUUUUUCGAGACAGGGUCUAUUUGUGUAGCCCUGGCUGAUCUGCUCCUUGUAAUUCUCUUACCCAUAGUUUCAGCUACAGUGUGUGUGUGUGUGUGUGUGUGUGUGUGUGUGUGUGUGUGUGUGUAAUUGUAUAUGAAUGUGUGUGUGUGCAUGCGUGUGUGCGUGUGAUUGUAUAUGAGGGUAUGUAUAUGUGUUUGUGAGCAUAUGACUGUAUAUGGGAUUGUGUGUAUGUGUGUGUGUGUGUGUUUGUAUAUGAAUGUGUGUGUGUGCGCGUGUGUGCGUGUGAUUGUAUAUGAGGGUAUAUAUAUGUGUUUGUGAGCAUAUGACUGUAUAUGGGAUUGUGUGUGUGUGUGUGUGUGUGUGUGUGUGUGUGUGUGUGUUGCCAGUGGUGUUGGGAUCUAACUUAGGGUCUCAGGUAUUGCUAGGCCAGUGCUCUACUACUGAGCUAAGCUGGAAGCACCAGUACGCACAUUUUAAAAAAUGUAUUUCUACAGAAUUUGAAGCUCAUGAUCAGAUUGCCUAAUGGUACAAGGAGCUUCUCCUAGAUCCCAUUUACCCAAUUUCAUCUAUUAUUUAUAUGUUGCCCCAUUUACUUUACUAUUGGCUGUAUCUAAUUAUUUAUGCACACUUGCAUAUUUUUCUUGAAAUAUUUAAAAAUACAUUUGAGACAUUGUGCCCCUUACCCUUAAAUAUUUCACCAUAUCUGUCUAGGAAAGGAAAAUUAAAAACUAAACCUUUACUCUCUUUUAAGUAAUAAAAUCCAUCAUUGAAAUCUAGAAAAUUUAGCUUAGAAAAAGUAUUAACUAAUAUGAUGUACAUAUACAAAUUUCAUUCACAAUGCUGUUGUUUCUUUUUAACUCAUACACUCCUGUCUCCAUAGAGGGCACAAUUCAGAAUUGUGCCUUGUAUUUUGUUGUCCUAAUUAGCUUCAGUUGUCUUCCUGACUUACAUCAACGGAGGAACUGCUUCGAUCCGUUUUUCCUUUCUUUUUUCCCCCUUCUAUUGAAAAUGGAUUUUUUUUUUUUAGCACAUGUUGUACCCUGAUUAGGGUUUCCCCUCUCUCCACUUUUCCCAGUUCCUUCCUACCUCCUGUCCCAUCCAGAUCUACCCACUUUCUGUCUCUCAGUAGAAAACAAACAGGCUUCUAAGGUUUUAUAAUAAAAUAAAAUGUAAGAUAAAACAAAAAAUAACACUUUGGAAGUGGGCCAAACAAACAUAAGGAAAAGAGCCUAUGAGAAGGCACAAGAAAUAGAGAUCCACUCUUUCAUACACUCAGGAAUCCCAUAAAACCACUUAACUGGAAGCUAUAAUAUGUACACAGAGGCCUUGGCGUCGAUCCAUGCAGGCCCUGUGUGUGCUGCCUCAGCCUUGUCAGUUUAUAUGUACUUUGAUUACACUGACGUAGAGGGCCUUGCUCUCCUGGUGUCCUCCACCCCCUCUGGCUCUUACACUCUUUCUGUCUUCUCCUCUUCAGGGUUCUCUGAGCCCUAGUGGGAGGGAUUUGAUGGAGAACAUUCUGUUUAUGGCUGAGUGUUCUAAGGUCUCUCAUUCUCUGCACAUUGUCUGGCUGCGGGUCUCUGUAUUUGUUCCCGUCUGCUGCAGGAGGAAGCUUCUCUGAUGAUGACUGAUCAAGACACUGAUCUAUUAUGCCUCCUCACUCCCUGGAUUAUGCAGUGCUCAAGAACUUUACCAGCUGAGCUCCAGAUCCAUGGGUAUCCCCUUUCAGAAAGGAGCACCACUGAAGGGACACCACUGAAGGGAGCACCACUGAAUGGACAUCACUGAAGGGAGCGCCACUGAAUGGACACCACUGAAGGGAGCACCACUGAAUGGACAUCACUGAAGGGAGCGCCACUGAAUGGACAACACUGAAGGGAGCACCACUGAAAGGACAACACUGAAGGUACACCACUGAAGGGAGCAGCACUGAAGGGACAACACUGAAUGGAGCACCACUGAAUGGAGCACCACUGAAAGGAGCACCACUGAAUGGAGCACCACUGAAGGGACACCACUGACAGGAGCACCACUGACAGGAGCACCACUGAAUGGAGCACCACUGAAGGGACACCACUGAAAGGAGCACCACUGAAUGGAGUACCACUGAAUGGAGUACCACUGAAUGGAGCAUCACUGAAUGGACACCACUGAAGGGAGCACCACUGAAGGGACACUACUCCAGCCAUUAGAGAAUUCAAUGUGGAGGUCAAACAAAAUCUAGGACUGGAUCUACCACAUGACCCAGCUAUACCUCUUCGGGGUGUUGACCCAGAAGACUCCAAGUCAACAAAUCACAGAGAUAGCUGCUCAGCAAUGCUUAUUGCAGCAUUAUUCACAACAGCUAAGUUAUGGAAACAACCUGAGUUGCUGUUUCAACAACAGAACAACAGUUCAAGAAAAUGUCAAAUUCCACAUAAAGGAACUUUUUAAACUAUAUAGAAGAAUUCAGUUAUGCCAAUUGUGAGGCAAUAAGUAAACUAAGCUAGUCUCAGAAAGAUAAAUACAUUUUCUCUUAUUGUUUCUUUUAUUUUAUGUUGCUGUAGGAUAAUCCUCUUGUACACUGUAAAGAUCUGUCACCUGAAUUGGUUUAAUAAAACUCUGAUUGGCCAGUAGCCAGGCAGGAAGGACAGGUGGGACAACCAAAUUAAGGAUGAUGGGAAGGAGAAGGGCAGAGUCAGGAGUUGCCAGCCAGAAGCAGAGGGAGCAGGCAGGGAAGUAGAAGAAAAACUGUAAGGGGGCAAAGAAGUUCUGUGGGAUUGUGGGGCAGGAUUGGUGUAGGGGGGAAAAUUGUCAGUGUCCAGUAUAUGUUCAUAUGAAUUGUGUAAUAUCAUUGUGAUAUCAGUGACAUACAUAAUCAAUAUACAAUGAAAAAAAUUUUAAUUAAAGAUUUAGAAGAGUUCUGCCUUCUGUUUUAAAAAAAUACAUACUUUUUUUUUUUUUUUUUAUGAGACAGGGCCUCCUUCUGUAGUCCUGGAUUUUGCUGUGUACCCUAGGUUGGUCUCAAACUCAGGUCAAUCUUCCUGCCUCAGUCUCCUGAGUCUUGAAAUUCCAGAUGUGUAACAUCGUUCCUGACUCCCAAAUACCUUCUUAUGCUUUAUUCAGUUCCAUUCAAAGCUUUUGUUUCAUGCCAGUUAUGCAGAAGGGAUAGAAUUCAUUCAUUACUUCUUAAUAUAAAGAAAAUGCAGUGAUGCAGAAAAUAUAAUCUAUUGAAAUGUUGGUUGCUAUAGAAUUCUGCAGUCAAGGCUCAUGCAGAGUGAUCUCUAAGUCCUGUGGUGUUGUGUUUCUUUCUCUCUGGCUUUAAAAUGUGUAUGUAGUUCAGCUCAGGCACUCUCUCAACCACUGCCAGUAGUCUAUAAUGGAGGUAUCUUUGUGGAUUUCUGGGGACCUCUCUAGCACUCUGCUUCUUCCUUUUCUCCUGGGGUCUUCAUUUAUCAUGGUAUCUCUUUCCUUGUUCUCCCACUCUGUUCCUGAUGCAACUGGGACCUUCCGCUCCCCUAAGCUUGCUUUCCCCCGACCCUUGCCCUCCAUUACCUACCUCACCCCCAGUUUGCUCAUGUAGAACUCAUCCAUUUCUCUGUCGCUGGGUGAUCCCUGUGUCUUUCUUAGGGUCCUCUUUAUUAGGUAGCCUCCCUGGAGUUAUGAGUUGCAGUCUGGUUAUCCUUUGCUUUACAUCUAGUAUUCACUUAUGAGUGACCUACUCUGCUGAUCUGAUGGUCGAACACCCUGUCAUGAUAGAACUCUCAUCCAGUGACUGGUGGAAGCAGAUGCAGAGAUCCAUGGCCAAACCCCAGGUGGAGCUCCAGGAGUCCAACCAGAAAGACAGAGGAUCCCUAUAUGAGCAAGAGAUAUCGAGACCAUGAUUGGAAAAAGCACAGGGACAACUAGCCAAACUAGCGGAAACACAUGAACUGUGAACCAAUAGCUGAGGAGCCCCCAUGGAACUGGACCAGGCCCUCUGGAUAAGUGAGACAGUCGAUGAGCUUGAACUGUUUAGGAGGCCCCCAGACAGUGGGACUAGAACCUGUCCUUGAUGCAUGAACUGGCUUUUUGGAACCUAGUGCCUAUGCUGAGACACUUUGCUCAGCCUUGGUGCAGGGAGGAGAGGACUAGACCUGCCUCAACUGAAUCUACCAGGCUGGGCUGAAUCCCCAUGGGAGACCUUGC